rnacentral:rRNA from 1 species
UACGAAGGGGACUAGCGUUGUUCGGAAUCACUGGGCGUAAAGCGCACGUAGGCGGAUGUGUCAGUCAGGUGUGAAAGCCCUGGGCUCAACCCAGGAAGUGCACUUGAAACUCCCGAGCUUGAGAUCUGGAGAGGAAGGCGGAAUUCUCGGUGUAGAGGUGAAAUUCGUAGAUAUCGAGAGGAACACCGGUGGCGAAGGCGGCCUUCUGGACAGCAUCUGACGCUGAGACGCGAAAGCGUGGGGAGCAAACAGG